rnacentral:lncRNA from 1 species
UCCAUAUUACUUAUUGAACAAGAACUGCUACUACGCGUGCAUUAAAUCUGGUCAAUAAAGAUGGAUGAGAAAGAGACCCUCAAACGACCAGCAUUAAAUUCAACUCCUAUCUCCCCUAUAUUCCUUGGUUUUUUUUCUGGACCACCCCUCUAUUCCUCAAUUAUUCGACCUUAAACUAAAUGCCCCUACCUCAUCCCACCCCCACCCAAUUCCCUUACCGCUUAAGUGUAAGAUGAAUUGUAAAAAUCCUGACUUCUUAUUAUUAAUUGCUUG